CAGGCCUAACACAUGCAAGUCGAACGGAAAGGCCCUGCUUUUGUGGGGUGCUCGAGUGGCGAACGGGUGAGUAACACGUGAGUAACCUGCCCUUGACUUUGGGAUAACUUCAGGAAACUGGGGCUAAUACCGGAUAGGAGCUCCUGCUGCAUGGUGGGGGUUGGAAAGUUUCGGCGGUUGGGGAUGGACUCGCGGCUUAUCAGCUUGUUGGUGGGGUAGUGGCUUACCAAGGCUUGGACGGGUAGCCGGCCUGAGAGGGUGACCGGCCACAUUGGGACUGAGAUACGGCCCAGACUCCUACGGGAGGCAGCAGUGGGGAAUAUUGCACAAUGGGCGGAAGCCUGAUGCAGCAACGCCGCGUGCGGGAUGACGGCCUUCGGGUUGUAAACCGCUUUCGCCUGUGACGAAGCGUGAGUGACGGUAAUGGGUAAAGAAGCACCGGCUAACUACGUGCCAGCAGCCGCGGUGAUACGUAGGGUGCGAGCGUUGUCCGGAUUUAUUGGGCGUAAAGGGCUCGUAGGUGGUUGAUCGCGUCGGAAGUGUAAUCUUGGGGCUUAACCCUGAGCGUGCUUUCGAUACGGGUUGACUUGAGGAAGGUAGGGGAGAAUGGAAUUCCUGGUGGAGCGGUGGAAUGCGCAGAUAUCAGGAGGAACACCAGUGGCGAAGGCGGUUCUCUGGGCCUUUCCUGACGCUGAGGAGCGAAAGCGUGGGGAGCGAACAGGCUUAGAUACCCUGGUAGUCCACGCUGUA
rnacentral:rRNA from 1 species